UCGAAGACUAGAUCCACAGCAGGAGGACUGCCAGCAGCAUCGACUAACAUCGGAGCUGGGGUUGAAACACCUGCAGCGGGAUCCUUAGCUGUUGCAGCAGCUAGCUCAUCAUGUCAUCGGUAAUAUUUCAGGGAAUUUGGGGGAGUUAUUCAACAAUGACAUGCAUAUUACACAGGUCGGUUUUUAAGGUUGGUUCUAUUUAUUCACGUUAUCAGUGAUAGAUGUAAAGACACCAGUCAA